AUUGAUCGCUGGCGGCAGGCCUAACACAUGCAAGUCGAGCGGAGCGGCGGACGGGUGAGUAAUGCCUAGGAAUCUGCCUGGUAGUGGGGGAUAACGUCCGGAAACGGGCGCUAAUACCGCAUACUAUCAGAUGAGCCUAGGUCGGAUUAGCUAGUUGGUUGGGUAAAGGCCUACCACGGCGACGGUCCUGCACUGGUCUGAGCGGAUGAUCAGUCACACUGGAACUGAGACACGGUCCAGACUCCUACGGGCGGCAGCAGUGGGGAAUAUUGGACAAUGGGCGGAAGCCUGAGCCAGGCAUGCCGCGUGUGUGAAGAAGGUCUUCGGAUUGUAAAGCACUUUAAGUUGGGAGGCGUUACCAACAGAAUAAGCACCGGCUAACUUCGUGCCAGCCGCCGCGGUAAUUC
rnacentral:rRNA from 1 species